GAUGAACGCUAGCGAUAGGCUUAACACAUGCGAGUCGAGGGGCAGCAUGGUCUUAGCUUGCUAAGACUGAUGGCGACCGGCGCACGGGUGCGUAACGCGUAUGCAACUUGCCUCACAGAGGGGGAUAACCCGUCGAAAGACGGACUAAUACCGCGUACACUUGGGAUAGGGCAUCCUGACCCAAGGAAAUGAAAUUCGCUGUGAGAUAGGCAUGCGUCCCAUUAGCUAGUUGGUGAGGUAACGGCUCACCAAGGCGACGAUGGGUAGGGGAACUGAGAGGUUGCCCCCCCACACUGGUACUGAGACAAGAACCAGACAGCGACGGGAGGAAGCGGGGAGAAAUAUGGUUAAAGGGGAGAGGGCUUGAACCACCCAAGUCGCGGAAAGGAUGAUUGUCUUAUGGAUUGUAACUUUCUUUAAUGGGGAAAUAAAAAGCGCCCGGGGCGGCCCCCUGAAUGACCGUAAUAAAAAGGCGUGGGCAACCCCGGGC
rnacentral:rRNA from 1 species